AGCAGUGGCUCAGUGGCAAGCUCUGCUGCAGGAAGGAAGGCAAUGCCAGGCACGGGCACAGGCACAGGAGAUGCAGCCAGCACCACAGCACCUGUUCCAGAUUCCCAGAAGGGCAUCGGAAGGGGUUGCCAUUGGGAAGCACGCUGUUUGCUGCAGUUAAUGGCAGAUGUGCUUUUUUUUUGUCUUUUCUUCCUGUUGUUCUGUGUUGGAAUCUGGUGCUUCUGGAAGAUAAUACAGUGAGUGUUUUUAUCCUCUUUCCCUCAAACAGCUUCUUUUACAAGUCUAAUAUAGAUGGGAAACAUUCCCCGAGAGGC